GGGAUUUCUGGUACCCUCAGCCCUGGCGGGAUUGCUGGUAUCUUCAGCCUUGUGUUGGGAUUGCUGUGGUCUGCUGUGCUGGGAUUGGCCUCCACUGUAAUCGCAAGAUGAAACGCGAUCGUCAGGAGAGGAGGCCUGAAGCUCUGGAGAUGAUGACAGAAGUGUGAGGACCAUGCAGUCGAGCAUUUGGGAGAGGACCAGUGGAGCAUUUGGGAGAGGAAAAGUGAAACAUUCUACAUUAACCUUAGUCUCAUACAUAAAACAUAUCCUUGUUUAGUUAUUUACAAUAUGCCACAGUUACUUAUUUGCAUGCUUAAUCUAACAAACAAUUAUAUUGGAUAGUAAACUAAUCAUGUAAUUUGAGCUCAGUGUAUUUUAAACCCUGUCAAUUGUAGUUCUAUACAGCUGCCCACUGGGAGUGAUGCAGCAUAGAGACAUGGUGGAUCCUGUUUGUUCAAAGUAUGGUUGCUGUUUGAUGACAGCACAUGGCUUUGAGAGCUGUAAUUGUUAUCAUUCUAAAGACGGACACCUGCCUUCUGUGCUGCAGCACUUCCUGUGUGAUUUGUUUUGUUUUUCCAAUUUUAACUAUGGUUUUGAACCUGUUACUUUCCAGCCUGUGACAUGUACAGUGCAUUUGGAAAGUGUUCAGACUUUUUCCACAUUUUGUUAGGUUA